GGCUUUAUUGUUUCCUAACUAAUAGAUUUCCCCUUCUACCCCCACCGAAUUGUAUCCGUUUGAGCCUUUAGAGCCCUUUCUGCCCAACACAGGGGUACUUUGAGCCUGAUGCCUUCUGGAUGCCCCCCACUCCCAUUUGGCUGAAGCAAACUCAAGUAUCCCUAGGAGAGCCUUGUACCAAAAACAGGGUGGUUUGGGAGUUACAGGACCUGGGUUAAAAUUCCUACAUAUACAAUCUUGGCCAACUAAGCCUCCUUGAUCCUAUUUUCCUCUUUUAUAAGAAAGGAUCAUUCAGUGGUAAACUGGUAAAUGCUUAACAAUUCACUCUCCAUUUGGCAAUUUCUGUGGUGUAAAUACUCUCAGCAUGGCCAAUUUCCAGCCACCAGUGGGUUGGGAAUAGACAUACACAGUUAGUUCUCAUGAGCUGGUAAUAGCCAGCUCCAGCAACACCUCUUGAUACUCAGGUUACAGGGUUGUUAUGAUGAUUAAAUGUGAAAUGUAUGAAAAAUAAUUACUGGUGUGCUCUAGUAGAGCAUCAGUAAAUAAAACACCUAUUGGACGAGGUGCAAAAAAAGGUAUUUAUUUUAGGCCCGCUUGGUGGACGGGUGAAGUUUAGGCCAGUUAACUGACAAAAAGAUGAUGGAGUGGGGAAGAAAAAUAGGAAAAAGAGAAUGAAACUGAGCUCCUGUCUCAAUAUGUGUACAUAGGAGGGCAUCUUCCUGAAAGAAGUCCCAUGAUUUCUGGAGCCUGGUGGGCACCCAACAGAUGGGUUAUUUACGGCAGAGUUUCUCAAUCAUGCAUCAGAAUUUUCUGGAGGGCUUGUUAAAACAGAUUGCUGGCUGCAAGCCCAGAGUUUCUGAUCCAGUAGGUAUGGGGUAGAGCUAAGAAUUUGCAUAUCUAACAAGUUCCCAGGUGAUGCCAAUGCCCUUGUUUGGGGCUCACACUUGGAGAACACCUGAGUUAUGGCAAUGGCGGCCAGAGGAGCUAGAGAUGGAGUUUUCUCUGUCUCAGCAGGUAUCUCUGGCUCUCAUUCUACAGGGUUCAGGACUCUAAUCCUCUUCUUGCCACUCUUUGCUGCUGUGCCAGAAAUGAUUGAUUACAUAUGGCAGGAAGUGAAAUGUAUGCAGUGAUCCCUGAAGUCACCCCGUCAUGCCCGACUCUGCUAGAAUCUUCUAUAAAAAAGAAAAAUCCUCUUCGUAAAUGCCUUGGAAGAUAACUGGUACACCUCUAAUGACGGCUGGCCUAUGCUCUCAAAGACAGGUGAAACCUAGUGAUGAAAUGAGGGUAAGCAUUAGUAAUCCAUUUCACCUGUAACCUGCCUUGACCAAUCAAGGCCGUUUUAAUUGUUGCCACAGAACACUCGGCAUGCCCUCCAAGUGGCAAGUAGCCUGAUAGUAAGCUGCUUGCCAGAGGUGUUUUCCAGAAACUUGUCGUCAACUGAACUGAUUAAGACAGGAUGGGACCACUGAUCCUUCAACUAGGCAUGCGCAAGUGUUCAUUUGAUGGCCUGAAAGUGUGGAGGGUUUUGCUUAGUUUGGCCUGCGCAGAAAGAUGAUGACCAUGGUUGCCGCACCUUUUCCCAAUCGCUGCUCCCCACGCUGCUGAUGUUCCUACGCUCUCUAAUUAUUUGUUCAUUAUGUCAGAUAUGCCAAGCCUCUGCCUUCUCGGGGGCAGAUUUGAGAUUUGUUCUCCAGUUUCCUCGCUUGGCUGCCUUGCCAUCUAAGCCCCCUUUGCUGCAGAGCUUUGCGUCUCCACAUUUUGGCUUGCUGUGCAAAACAAACCUGGGUUGGUGACAGGUUUGGUGAGGGAAAGUCCAGGAGGGAGGUUCACAGGGACCUUUCACCCAUGGCUCCUCGCUCCUUGCCGUACCAAGAGUCUGUGAAUGAGUUGGAGGAACUGCCUUGUCCAUGAGUUCUGGAACCAUCCCUGGCUUUCUCCGGUGACUUGCUGUGGACCUUCAGUGCUUAGUUUCGUCCUGCGGCAGAGAAAUGGUUUCUGGGUGUGCAGUUUGGAAGCGUCCUUCGUCUGCUUGAGGCUAUCCACAUUCUUUGGCUCCUGGUGUCUCCCGGCUUUACCCCAUCUACAAAGCUACCAGUGGCAGGCAGUCUCAUGUCCCAUUUGACUUCUUCUAUAGCUGAGCACUGCAGAAUUGAUGCUUUUGAACUGUGGUGUUAGAGAAGACUCUUGAGAGUCCCUUGGACUGCAAGGAGAUCCAACCAGUCCAUUCUGAAGGAGAUCAGCCCUGGGAUUUCUU